rnacentral:rRNA from 1 species
GCACAAGCAGCGGAGCGUGUGGUUUAAUUCGUUGCUACACGAAGAACCUUACCUGGGUUUGACAUAUAAGUUGUAGGGAACUGAAAAGGGACGACCCUUCGGGGAGCUUAUACAGGUGUUGCAUGGCUGUCGUCAGCUCGUGUCGUGAGAUGUUCGGUUAAGUCCGCUAACGAGCGCAACCCUCGCCGUAUGUUACAAGUGUCAUACGGGACUGCCGGUAAAAAGCCGGAGGAAGGUGAGGAUGAUGUCAAGUCAGCAUGACCUUUAUAUCCAGGGCUACACACACGCUACAAUGGUCUGUACAAUUGGUUGCCAAGCCGCGAGGCGGAGCCAAUCCGUAAAGCAGGCCUCAGUUCAGAUUGCAGUCUGCAACUCGACUGCAUGAAGCCGGAGUUGCUAGUAACCGCAGGUCAGCAAUACUGCGGUGAAUACGUUCCCGGGUCUU